AAUCAACGCUGGCGGCGUGCCUAACACAUGCAAGUCGAACGGGAAAACCCGCAAGGGUGAGUACAGUGGCGCACGGGUGCGUAACACGUGGGUAAUCUGCCCAGAAGCCCGGAAUAACUCCCCGAAAGGGGUGCUAAUGCCGGAUGAGACCACGGGGACUUCGGUUCCUGGGGGAAAGGGUGGCCUCUGUAUACAAGCUAUCACUUCUGGAUGAGCCCGCGGCCCAUCAGCUAGUUGGCGGGGUAAUGGCCCACCAAGGCUACGACGGGUAGCUGGUCUGAGAGGACGAUCAGCCACACUGGAACUGAGACACGGUCCAGACUCCUACGGGAGGCAGCAGUGGGGAAUCUUGCGCAAUGGGCGAAAGCCUGACGCAGCAACGCCGCGUGUGUGAUGAAGGUCUUCGGAUCGUAAAGCACUGUCGGGUGGGACGAAUAAGGGCCGGGUGAACAAUCCGGCCUGACGACGGUACCUCCAGAGGAAGCACCGGCUAACUCUGUGCCAGCAGCCGCGGUAAGAC
rnacentral:rRNA from 1 species